GGGCACCACCAGGGGGUGCAGCUGCGGCUUAUUAGACUCAACACGGGAAAUCUCACCAGGCCCGGACACCGGAAGGAUUGACAGAUUAACAGCUCUUUCUUGAUUCGGUGGGUGGUGGUGCAUGGCCGUUCUUAGUUGGUGGAGCGAUUUGUCUGGUUAAUUCCGGUAACGAACGAGACUCUAGCCUGCUAAAUAGGCGUCGCCAUUUAGGUGUGCUCGAUUUCGGUCGUGCAACUCACUGGCGGCGUAUUAAAAUUCUUCUUAGAGGGACCGGCGGCUUCGAGCCGCACGAGAUUGAGCAAUAACAGGUCUGUGAUGCCCUUAGAUGUCCUGGGCCGCACGCGCGCUACACUGAAGGAAUCA
rnacentral:rRNA from 1 species